UACAAGCUGCGUUGUACGUGAUCAUAAUAAGUUUUAACCUUUAAGCUGUUAUAGGGAGUUUUAUAUUGAAACCGGAAUGCCAUGCCUCCCACUAUGGAUAGAGGACGGCAGAAACGUUUCUGCAAACACCCACUUUGAGGAGUGGUGGUUUAAAACUUCAUUAUACUACAUCAACGGCAAACGCGGCCUUUUU
rnacentral:other from 1 species